rnacentral:lncRNA from 1 species
CCACAAUCAGGAAAACGAGCCUGCGCAGGAGGACCCUGAAGACCUGGACGGCUCCGUUCAGGGAGUGAAGCCUCAGAAAGCUGCCUCUUCCACCUCCUCAGGGAGCCACCACAGCAGCCACAAAAAGCGGAAGAAUAAAAACCGGCACAGAAUGAAUGUCUCCCCCCAAACUGGCUGGCACCAGCUCCAUCUGUGACCCCCCCCAUCGAGGAGUGCACACCUCUGGUUUUGUGUUACUCGGAAAGUAGAGCCCAAGGUCCACUGCAGAUGGAGGCUGUAAAUAAUCGCCAUUCUCCUGUCUUGUUCCGUGUCGUAUUGUGUUUUUUAUUGUUGUUUUUGCCAUCUGAUUUACUUUUGGGCCAUUGUGUGAUGCCUGCACCUUCCUGAUGACAUAUCUGACCGUCUGUCCCAUGUGGUGUUGAUAUUCACAAUUGAAACUAAAGUGGCUUUUAGAAGGAAAUGGGCAA